UACGUAGGGUGCAAGCGUUAAUCGGAAUUACUGGGCGUAAAGCGUGCGCAGGCGGUUAUAUAAGACAGAUGUGAAAUCCCCGGGCUCAACCUGGGAACUGCAUUUGUGACUGUAUAGCUAGAGUACGGCAGAGGGGGAUGGAAUUCCGCGUGUAGCAGUGAAAUGCGUAGAUAUGCGGAGGAACACCGAUGGCGAAGGCAAUCCCCUGGGCUAGUACUGACGCUCAUGCACGAAGAGCGGU
rnacentral:rRNA from 1 species